GUGGGGAAUAUUGGACAAUGGGCGAAAGCCUGAUCCAGCCAUGCCGCGUGUGUGAAGAAGGUCUUCGGAUUGUAAAGCACUUUAAGUUGGGAGGAAGGGCAGUAAGUUAAUACCUUGCUGUUUUGACGUUACCGAUAGAAUAAGCACCGGCUAACUUCGUGCCAGCAGCCGCGGUAAUACGAAGGGUGCAAGCGUUAAUCGGAAUUACUGGGCGUAAAGCGCGCGUAGGUGGUUUUGUAAGUUGGAGGUGAAAUCCCCGGGCUCAACCUGGGAACUGCCUCCAAAACUGCAUGACUAGAGUACGGUAGAGGGUAGUGGAAUUUCCUGUGUAGCGGUGAAAUGCGUAGAUAUAGGAAGGAACACCAGUGGCGAAGGCGACUACCUGGACUGAUACUGACACUGAGGUGCGAAAGCGUGGGGAGCAAACAGGAUUAGAAACCCGGGUAGUCC
rnacentral:rRNA from 1 species